AACGAACGCUGGCGGCAGGCCUAAAACAUGCAAGUCGAACGAUGUAGCAAUACAUAGUGGCGCACGGGUGCGUAACGCGUGGGAAUAUGCCCUUCACUACGGAACCACGUCGGGAAACUGACGCUAAUACCGUAUAAUGACUCCGGUCCAAAGAUCUAUCGGUGAAGGAUUAGCCCGCGUCUGAGUAGGUAGUUGGUGAGGUAACGGCUCACCAAGCCGACGAACAGUAGCUGGUCUGAGAGGAUGAUCAGCCACACUGGAACUGAGACGCGGUCCAGACUCCUACGGGAGGCAGCAGUUAGGAAUAUUGGACAAUGGGGGAAACCCUGAUCCAGCCAUGCCGCGUGAGUGAAGAAGGCCUUAGGGUUGUAAAGCUCUUUCGUCUGUGAAGAUAAUGACAGUAGCAGAAGAAGAAGCCCCGGCUAAAUUCGUGCCAGCAGCCGCCGUAA
rnacentral:rRNA from 1 species